UACAGAGGGUGCGAGCGUUAAUCGGAAUUACUGGGCGUAAAGCGCACGUAGGCGGAUUUGUAAGUCAGGGGUGAAAUCCCGGGGCUCAACCUCGGAACUGCCUUUGAUACUGCAAAUCUCGAGUCCGGAAGAGGUGAGUGGAAUUCCUAGUGUAGAGGUGAAAAUUCGUAGAUAUUAGGAAGAACACCAGUGGCGAAGGCGGCUCACUGGUCCGGUACUGACGCUGAGGUGCGAAAGCCGUGGGGAGCAAACAGGGAU
rnacentral:rRNA from 1 species